rnacentral:rRNA from 1 species
AAUAGGUAAUUAGAAGGAAGUAGAAGUCGAAACAAGGUUUCGAUAGGUGAACCUAAGGAAGGAUCAUUAUUGAUAAAAACAUUGAUAGGCGGAGCUGGCUCUUUUAGAGGAAGGGUCACGCUUGUCAUUAUUUUUUUGUUUCUCCACCUGUGCACCUUUAGUAGACCUUGGAGAAUUGUCUUGUAGAUAUUUUUGGGGACUGCUGUGCCUUUUGAAUGAAGUGCCAGCUUUCCCUUGUCUCCCUAGGUUCUAUGUUAUUCACAUACUCCAAUGAAUGUAAUAGAAUGUUGAUCUGGGCCCUUUUUAGUGCCCAUAAAGUUUUAUACAACUUUCAGCAAUGGAUCUCUUGGCUCUCGCAUCGAUGAAGAACGCAGCGAAAUGCGAUAAGUAAUGUGAAUUGCAGAAUUCAGUGAAUCAUCGAAUCUUUGAACGCAUCUUGCGCUCCUUGGUAUUCUGAGGAGCAUGCCUGUUUGAGUGUCAUUAAAUUCUCAACUACACUGACUUUGAAUUGGUGUGGCUUGGAUUUGGGGGGAACAUUGUUGUGGGCUUUUUUUGUACUGUCUGCUCCCCUGAAAUUGAUUAGCGGUACCUUUGUGGAACUGUCUACAGGUGUGAUAAUUAUCUACAUCCUAGACAUCUGCUGGAAUGCUGCUUUCUAAAUCUUACUUGUCUUGACCAUCUUGACCUCAAAUCAGGUAGGACUACCCGCUGAACUUAAGCAUAUCAAUAAGCGGAGGAAAAGAAACUAACAAGGAUUCCCUUAGUAACUGCGAGUGAAGUGGGAUAAGCUCAAAUUUAAAAUCUGGCGGUCAUUUGGCUGUCCGAGUUGUAAUCUAGAGAAGUGUUGCCCGUGCUGGACCAUGUACAAGUCUCCUGGAAUGGAGCAUCAUAGAGGGUGAGAAUCCUGUCUUUGACAUGGACUCCCAGUGCUUUUGUGGUAUGCUCUCAAAGAGUCGAGUUGUUUGGGAAUGCAGCUCAACAUGGGUGGUAAAUGCCAUCUAAAGCUAAUUAUUGGCGAGAGACCGAUAGGGAACCAGUACCGUGAGGGAAAGAUGAAAAGA